AAUGUUCCUGUAAUUUAGCCCCAGGAGACAUCGUCUCCAGUUGGCUAUACUACACGAUCUGUGUUCUUAUAUCUUUUAAACAGCUAGACGACACAAG